rnacentral:rRNA from 1 species
AGCUUGCUCCCGGAUGUUAGCGGCGGACGGGUGAGUAACACGUGGGUAACCUGCCUGUAAGACUGGGAUAACUCCGGGAAACCGGAGCUAAUACCGGAUAGUUCCUUGAACCGCAUGGUUCAAGGAUGAAAGACGGUUUCGGCUGUCACUUACAGAUGGACCCGCGGCGCAUUAGCUAGUUGGUGAGGUAACGGCUCACCAAGGCGACGAUGCGUAGCCGACCUGAGAGGGUGAUCGGCCACACUGGGACUGAGACACGGCCCAGACUCCUACGGGAGGCAGCAGUAGGGAAUCUUCCGCAAUGGACGAAAGUCUGACGGAGCAACGCCGCGUGAGUGAUGAAGGUUUUCGGAUCGUAAAGCUCUGUUGUUAGGGAAGAACAAGUGCAAGAGUAACUGCUUGCACCUUGACGGUACCUAACCAGAAAGCCACGGCUAACUACGUGCCAGCAGCCGCGGUAAUACGUAGGUGGCAAGCGUUGUCCGGAAUUAUUGGGCGUAAAGGGCUCGCAGGCGGUUUCUUAAGUCUGAUGUGAAAGCCCCCGGCUCAACCGGGGAGGGUCAUUGGAAACUGGGAAACUUGAGUGCAGAAGAGGAGAGUGGAAUUCCACGUGUAGCGGUGAAAUGCGUAGAGAUGUGGAGGAACACCAGUGGCGAAGGCGACUCUCUGGUCUGUAACUGACGCUGAGGAGCGAAAGCGUGGGGAGCGAACAGGAUUAGAUACCC